CAUCCUUGUUUAUUGGGAUUUGGU
rnacentral:siRNA from 1 species